UGGGGAAUCUUGCACAAUGGGGGCAACCCUGAUGCAGCGACGCCGCGUGAGCGAUGAAGCCCUUCGGGGCGUAAAGCUCUUUCGACCGGAACGAUAAUGACGGUCCCGGGAGAAGAAGCUGCGGCUAACUACGUGCCAGCAGCCGCGGUAAUACGUAGGCAGCAAGCGUUGUUCGGAUUUACUGGGCGUAAAGAGUGCGUAGGCGGUUUUCUAAGUUCGGUGUGAAAUCUCCCGGCUUAACUGGGAGGGUGCGCCGAAGACUGGGAAGCUGGAUUGUGGGAAAGGCAGGCGGAAUUCCUGGUGUAGCGGUGAAAUGCGUAGAUAUCAGGAGGAACACCGGCGCUGUAGACGGCUUGCUAGACCAUAACUGAUGCUGAGGCACGAAAGCGUGGGUAGCAAACA
rnacentral:rRNA from 1 species